GUUAUGUGAAAAACUGCUGGCUGGCUAUUUAGCUUUGAUAUCCUGAUAUUCUGUGCUAUGUAAUAGGAUAGAACAUGGCCAUUAGUUGAUAGACUAGAAAAGGCCUAAUUGAACUGAUAUUGGUGAUCCAAUGUUUGUCUUUCUCUACAAAAUACAAUUGCUGAAGCCUGUUGUAAGGCGCGAUACGACAGAGUGCCUGAAUACAGAUAACAGUGGUUUAUUGGCAGUAGAGUAUGAACCCUUGAGGUGCCUUAUUGCUUUUAUAACAUAAUUAGAACAGGACAAAUAUGUUAUAUCUGUGGAAUAUAGUCACACCACGGCUUUCAGCCAAUCAGCAAGCAGGAGUCAACAUAUAGAGUGCCGACACACCCACAGUGACUCCUCAGAAACAGCUGACACACACACACACACAAGGUGACUCCUCAUCUGUUGGUCUGUCCACUACAGCAAAAACACACACUCCUCAGAUGUAGUUUAGUCUAGAACAGGUGAAACGCACCCAGCAGGGAUAGGCUGUGAAGAUGUAUAGAGCGAGAGAGUGAGCAUGGCCCUAGAGAGGUAGGAGAGAGAGAGAGAUGGCCCUAGAGGGGUAGGAGAGAGAGAGAGCUGGCCCUAGAGGGGUAGGAGAGAGAGAGAGCUGGCCCUAGAAGGGUAGGAGAGAGAGAGAGCUGGCCCUAGAGGGGUAGGAGAGAGAGAGAGCUGGCCCUAGAGGGGUAGGAGAGAGAGAGAGCUGGCCCUAGAGGGGUAGGAGAGAGAGAG
ensembl:lncRNA